GCGUUGAUGGUAUAAUGGUUAGCAUUGUUGCCUUCAGACCAAUAGAUCUGGGUUCGAUUCCCGGUCAACGCA
rnacentral:tRNA from 1 species